rnacentral:rRNA from 1 species
AAGUUCUUCAAACUCAAAAAAUUUGGCGGUAUUUUAGACUAUUCAGAGGAACCUGUAUUAUAAUUGAUACUCCACGAUGAACCUUACUUAAGUUUGUAUUUCAGUUUGUAUACCGCCGUUAUUUGAAAAUUUUAUAAGAAUAAUAAUUUUCAAAAAUUUUAAUAUAAAAAAUAAAUCAGGUCAAGGUGCAGCUUAUAUUUAAGUUUUUAUGGGUUACAAUAAAUUUAUUUAAACGGAUUAAAUUAUGAAAAUUGAUUUAUGAAGGUGGAUUUGAAAGUAAAUUUUUAUAGAUAGAAAAAUUGAUUUUAGCUCUAAAAUAUGCACAUAUCGCCCGUCGCUCUUGUUAAUAAUAUAAGAUAAGUCGUAACAUAGUAGGUGUACUGGAAAGUGUCCCUAGAAUGACAAUUUAAAGCUUAUUUUAGUAAAGUAUUUCAUUUACACUGAAAGGAUUAUUGUGCAAAUCAAUAUAAAUUGAUAUUAUAUAAUUAUUUAUAUUAUUUUUUUUUAUUUAUAUUAUUAGAAAUAACUAUUUUAUUUUGUUUGAGUAUUUUAUAAAGAAAUAAUUUUUUUAAUUAUAGUUUAUUAGUAUUUUAAAAGAA